GGGGGGACGGAGAAGGCUAUGUUGGCCGGGCGACGGUUGUCCCGGUUUAAGCGUGUAGGCUGGUUUUCCAGGCAAAUCCGGAAAAUCAAGGCUGAGGCGUGAUGACGAGGCACUACGGUGCUGAAGCAACAAAUGCCCUGCUUCCAGGAAAAGCCUCUAAGCAUCAGGUAACAUCAAAUCGUACCCCAAACCGACACAGGUGGUCAGGUAGAGAAUACCAAGGCGCUUGAGAGAACUCGGGUGAAGGAACUAGGCAAAAUGGUGCCGUAACUUCGGGAGAAGGCACGC
rnacentral:rRNA from 1 species